rnacentral:rRNA from 1 species
AUUGAACGCUGGCGGCAUGCCUUACACAUGCAAGUCGAACGGCAGCACGGGUGCUUGCACCUGGUGGCGAGUGGCGAACGGGUGAGUAAUACAUCGGAACGUACCUUAUCGUGGGGAUAACGCAGCGAAAGCUGUGCUAAUACCGCAUACGCCCUGAGGGGGAAAGCGGGGGAUCGAAAGACCUCGCGCGAUUAGAGCGGCCGAUGCCUGAUUAGCUUGUUGGUGGGGUAAAAGCCCACCAAGGCGACGAUCAGUAGCUGGUCUGAGAGGACGAUCAGCCACACUGGGACUGAGACACGGCCCAGACUCCUACGGGAGGCAGCAGUGGGGAAUUUUGGACAAUGGGCGCAAGCCUGAUCCAGCAAUGCCG